rnacentral:rRNA from 1 species
UACGUAGGGGGCAAGCGUUUGUCCGGAUUUAUUGGGCGUAAAGAGCGUGUAGGCGGCCAGAUAGGUCCGUUGUGAAAACUGGAGGCUUAACCUCCAGCUGUCGAUGGAAACCAUCUGGCUAGAGUCCGGAAGAGGAGAGUGGAAUUCCUGGUGUAGCGGUGAAAUGCGCAGAUAUCAGGAAGAACACCCGUGGCGAAGGCGGCUCUCUGGGACGGUACUGACGCUGAGACGCGAAAAGCGUGGGGAGCGAACAGG